rnacentral:rRNA from 1 species
GACGAACGCUGGCGGCGUGCUUAACACAUGCAAGUCGAGCGGAAAGGCCACUUCGGUGGUACUCGAGCGGCGAACGGGUGAGUAACACGUGAGUAAUCUGCCCCUGGCUUUGGGAUAGCCACCGGAAACGGUGAUUAAUACCGGAUAUGACACAUUCUCGCAUGAGUUUUUGUGGAAAGUUUUUCGGCCAGGGAUGUGCUCGCGGCCUAUCAGCUUGAUGGUGAGGUAAUGGCUCACCAUGGCUUCGACGGGUAGCCGGCCUGAGAGGGUGACCGGUCACACUGGGACUGAGACACGGCCCAGACUCCUACGGGAGGCAGCAGUGGGGAAUAUUGGACAAUGGGCGGAAGCCUGAUCCAGCAACGCCGCGUGAGGGAUGACGGCCUUCGGGUUGUAAACCUCUUUCAGUACCGACGAAGCGCAAGUGACGGUAGGUACAGAAGAAGCACCGGCCAACUACGUG